rnacentral:rRNA from 1 species
UGCAGUCGAGCGAACGGAUAAGGAGCUUGCUCCUUUGAAGUUAGCGGCGGACGGGUGAGUAACACGUGGGUAACCUACCUAUAAGACUGGAAUAACUUCGGGAAACCGGAGCUAAUGCCGGAUAACAUUUGGAACCGCAUGGUUCUAAAGUAAAAGAUGGUUUUGCUAUCACUUAUAGAUGGACCCGCGCCGUAUUAGCUAGUUGGUAAGGUAACGGCUUACCAAGGCAACGAUACGUAGCCGACCUGAGAGGGUGAUCGGCCACACUGGAACUGAGACACGGUCCAGACUCCUACGGGAGGCAGCAGUAGGGAAUCUUCCGCAAUGGACGAAAGUCUGACGGAGCAACGCCGCGUGAGUGAUGAAGGUUUUCGGAUCGUAAAACUCUGUUAUUAGGGAAGAACAAAUGUGUAAGUAACUGUGCACAUCUUGACGGUACCUAAUCAGAAAGCCACGGCUAACUACGUGCCAGCAGCCGCGGUAAUACGUAGGUGGCAAGCGUUAUCCGGAAUUAUUGGGCGUAAAGCGCGCGUAGGCGGUUUCUUAAGUCUGAUGUGAAAGCCCACGGCUCAACCGUGGAGGGUCAUUGGAAACUGGGAAACUUGAGUACAGAAGAGGAAAGUGGAAUUCCAUGUGUAGCGGUGAAAUGCGCAGAGAUAUGGAGGAACACCAGUGGCGAAGGCGACUUUCUGGUCUGUAACUGACGCUGAUGUGCGAAAGCGUGGGGAUCAAACAGGAUUAGAUACCCUGGUAGUCCACGCCGUAAACGAUGAGUGCU